CCGCCCGGAGAGAAGCCGCCUUGGAUGGACAGAGGGACGGAGCGGCGAGCAUCCGGCCAGUCGUGCCCCGGCUCCCCUGCAGCGGUCUCCAACUGCUGUCUGCCGUCUGCCCGCUGCCCGCCUGCCUGGCAUCUCUCUCCCGGUGCUAGCUGCAUUCCUGGCCUGGAAGCGAUGAGCCCGUCCUACCCCUGUGUCACUCUGGAUGGUUUUGCAGAGGUGCCUCACCUGAUCCUGGGUAGAUGACAUCACCCUACAGUCAAUCAAAACAACAAACCCAUGAAGGGCAGCUACAGCACGGGUGAAGUUUGAAAAUAUGCUCAAUGAGAGAAGGCAGCUACAAAAGGACACACAUUAUUCCAGUUCUGUGAAAUUCCACAGCAGGGUCUUACAGUGUAUCCCUGGCUGCCUUGGAGCUCACAAAGUACUUCUGCCUCAGCCUCCUGAGAACGGGGAUUACAAGGGUGUGUCAGCCUUGCUGGCUCUAAAAAAUAUGAUUUAAAAAAUCUUCCACUUAUAAUAACACAAUUAAAUAUAAUAAAAGAUUUACAAUGUUCAUUUU
rnacentral:lncRNA from 1 species